CCCUUAGAUGUUCUGGGCCGCACACGCGCUACACUGAAGGAGGCAGCGUGUACUCCUGGAUCGAAAGAUUUGGGUAACCCGCGAAUCUCCUUCGUGCUAGGGAUUGAGGUUUGCAAUUAUCCUUCAUGAACGAGGAAUUCCCAGUAAGUGCAAGUCAUAAGCUUUCGCUGACUACGUCCCUGCCCUUUGUACACACCGCCCGUCGCUACUACCGAUUGAAUGAUUUAGUGAGGACUUCGGACUGGGACCGAUGCGGCUUUCGGGCUGCGUCGGUAUUCUGGAAAGAUGUCCAAACUGUAUCAUUUAGAGGAAGUAAAAGUCGUAACA
rnacentral:rRNA from 1 species